GGAUCACACAGGGCUUUGUGCACACUAGGCAAGUGGUCUGCUAGCUGAGCUAACGUCCCAGCCAGCAUAUCGGCUGUCACGCACCCUGCAGAGCCCUUGCCUGCCCAUCCCCCAGCCAGUGACACUGUAGAGAAGUAAAACGAGACCUUUGCUGGGAAAGUUUGUUUUUUUUUUUUACAGUAAAAGCAUUCCCAGAGUUACAAGGUGACUCACAGUGAAAUGUUCUUCUGAAAAAAAAAAAACACUUUCAAAUGAUUAUUAAUACAUUCAGUUGUUUGGCAUAUUUGUAAGCCAGGUUCCUUCAUAAACAAUGGAGAAAAAUCAGUAAACACUAGGAAAGCAGAUAUCUCCACUGGUACGGACUUUAUAGUUCCUUAGCCAAGACAUAUAGGAAAGGGAGUGUUUUAUCUCACACCUUUUAUACCUCUUUAUUCACACGUGUGCAUGCCUGCAUGAGUGUGGUCGCGUGUGUCACAGAGCACAUGGAGUGGUCAGAGACAAUCUGAGGGAAUCCAUUGUCUCCUUUCACCGCAUGGGAUCCGGGAACAAAUUCCGGUCAGCAGUCUUUUGUGACGGGUGCCUUUAACCCACAGAACCAUCUUGCUAUCCCAGGGCUGCAGUUUUAAACAGGAAAGCACAGCGGAUUGCUAUACUAGUGUGGACCCAGUGUGGCCCCCUAGGCUGGGCGUAGUGGCAAAUGCCUUAAUGCUAGUCCUAGGAACGCAGAAGCAGGCAGGUCUCUUGUGAGUUCCAGGACAGCCAUGGUUACGUGGUGAGACCCUAUCUCAAUAAACAACAAACUUGUACCCCCUGAUAAAUGACAUGUCCCUCUGUCCCUCUAGCAAUGGACUUUGCUGUCAAAAAAACCCUGAAGCAUCUUGAAGGUUCUAUGCUCUGAAUUGAAACAUUCAUGUUGUUAUGCAGGGGAAUUAGGGUCAGCACAGGUGUGUCCAGCCUUUUGGCUUCUCUAGGCUACACUGGAUGAAGAAUUGUCUUGGGCCACACAGGAGUGGGUAACUUUGACCCAUGGGUUUGGUAGCAGCACAAACGUCUUUGUUUCGCUAUCCUGGGCCACAGGCAUGGGUUAACCUCAGCAAAGACGCACUUAACAAAGGAGGCUGCCAACAGCAGUAUGAAGGUAAGUUCACAUGAAGGAGAACCUGGCUUGGUUUCCGGGCAGUUCCAAGAACCCCAGCUUGUCACAAGCUUUCUUGCCAGACCAUCUUUGGAUCGCCAGCCCCCAAAUAUUGACACGGAGACUUGAUAAUUAUGAAAUCUUGGCCUAUACCUUAGGCUUGUUCCCAACUAGUUCUUAAUAACUUAGACGAACCCAUUUCUAUCGAUCUGUGUUUUACCAUGCGGUUUUUUACCAUUCAUUCCGUGUGUCUGGCUCCCUCUGAAUCUCACUGGCAUCCCUCUGUGCCUUGACUGUCUUUUCCUACUUCCUCUCUCUCUGCCUGGAAGUCCCACCUGUACAUUCUGCCUAGCUACUGGCCGUGCAGCUCUUUAAUAAACCAGUCAUAACAGUAUGUCUUCACACGGGGUACAAACUUCCCACAACACCAGCUGGCCCAGAGCAUUGUGAGAAAUGUCUGUGUUUCAGAGAGGACCAGAGAAGGGAAAGACUCUUUGAGUAAAACGCUUUUUUUGGUGUGAGGCAGGGUCUCACGGAGGCCAGGCCACGCUAUGUAGUGAAGGAUGUCCUCCUGCCUCUACCUCCAGAGCGCUGGGAUGCAGGACCUCUGCCGCCGGGUCCAGCUUGAUAAGGUGGUAGUUAAACAACUUGAAGGAAGCUGCCGUGGAUGGAUAUUUUGAAGCUCUGACUCCCAUCUUUGUUCAGUUGGGAGAUGGGAAGGAAGUAAUUUAAGUUGGAUACGGUGGUAAGGAAAAGGGAUUGACCUGUGUGUGUGUGGGGGGGGAUUAAUGUACUUAACCAUUGGACUGGAGAGAUGGGUCAGGGAUUAAGAGCACUGGUAUUCUUAUAGAGGACCCAGGCUUGGCUAUCAGCAACCUGGUUUAUAACCAUCCGUAACUCCAGUUUCAGGAGCUUUGACACCCUCUUCUGGCAGGCACACAUGUGGGACGCAGACAAAAUGCCCCAUACAUAUAAAAUAAACAUUUUAAAAAACAUUAAAAAGGAAAGAAAGACAAGCUUAUAGCACCCUUUUUCCCGCUCACUCCAAAGCACCCAGCUAGGAAAGGACGAGUUGAGACACAGCAAAGGAGCUGACUGCAAGCCAAGCUGAGCUGGGACAACAGCCCUUUCCAGAAAUCGCACUUGCGGAGCACUGGCCUCAGACUUCCCAGCUUCCAGAACAUCAAGAAAGUGAACUCCCUACUUUAGGCCACACAGUCAAUGGAAAAAGGCCAUCGGAACCCCGGAAAAGCUACAUCAGAAGAGCAAACAAGUACAAGCUGUGAACCCCAGUGCCAGCAUGUGGGGGAGGGGAAGGAGCGGCUGGAGGAAGGGCGGAUAUCGUGGAGAGAAGCUGAAACUGUUCAGACGCUGGGGUCCCUGCAGCUCGCCACCCUCGGAGUCUAUGGGCAUAGGGACUCGUCCUGCUGUCUGGCUUUGUGUCCCCACUGGUUACUAAACGCCGGCGGCUUGGCGUCUGCCUGAAGAGUGGGCGAGAGCUGAAAGCAUAACAUGGUUCUAGCUGGGGACCAAG